rnacentral:misc_RNA from 1 species
GUGCCCCUGAGCAAGCGUUGUACAAGAAUAUAAUACGAACAAGAUUAUAUUGAGUAACUGCUGGUAUAUAAGUCUAAGCACUUCUCUGAAUUACAUCAAUAAUUCACAACUUCUAUGGAUAGAUUACUUCGGUCUCCGAAUGAAGAAAACAGUAAAUAGCAGACUGAGAAUUUACUCCAUAAAACUAAAGUUAGAUAUAGAAAUAGUCAGAUACAUUUUCUUAUAUUGAAACCUAUAGACAUUUGAAAAGGAAAUAAUGUAACAGAUAGGAUAUGCACCAUUCUGACAAUUUGGACUAUCAAACAACUGAUUAUGCAUACAUCAGACCAACUGUGCUUAAGAUUGUUAAAUUCACUAUUCGACUUGAUGUGCUGAGAGUUCAGGAAAUAUAUUUUUGGGGUAAUGGAGUAGGAAAACUCAAUUAUCCACAGGAUGGAAGACAUUGAACAUUUCGAAGAAAGCUUCAAACCAACUGCAUUUAGGAAACUCUAUUAUCCACUGGAUGGAAGAUCAAGAUUUUGAACUUU